rnacentral:tRNA from 1 species
CGACCACUGCGACACCGAGGCGGCCGGGCACCUUCCACAUGCCCGGCCCGGCGCUCCGGCGCAUGCGCGGGUCACCUCGUGGUGGUCGGC